rnacentral:lncRNA from 1 species
AUCAUCCGAACCGCAAGAGAAAAAAGCAUGCGGUUCGGUUUGGUUCGGUUGACCUUUAGAAAUAAAACCAAACCAAACCAAACCAAAUCAAUGCGGUUUGGGUUGGUUCGGUUGGUUCGGUUUUUUAUAAUAUUUUUAUUGAGCCAUAUAUACUCCUAUAAAUAACGAUAUAACUUUGUGUUUAGUUAUUCCUAUAUUACUAAGUAACAUCAAAAUUCAUCAUAUUUAGACAAAAACGUUUCAUUCAAUAUACAAAAAAAACCAAAUUAGACAAAAGUGGAAUAAAAGACAAAUAUAAAUAGUAGCAUAAAAUAAUAACAAAGACAUUAUAAUAAAGCAUAAAAAAAACAUAUGAGAUGAGAGAUGAGAGAAGAUGAAAAAAAGAACAUAAGAGAUGCGAGAUUGAGAAGAAAAGUGCAAUAAAAACGUAAUUGGAAGAGAA